rnacentral:rRNA from 1 species
UGGUGGAGUGAUUUGUCUGGUUAAUUCCGUUAACGAACGAGACCUCAGCCUGCUAACUAGUCGUGCUUAUCCUUUGUCGCUGAUGGUUUCUUCGGAAAUUCGGACGCGGCAGCUUCAGGAUAGGCUGAUGUUUUCUCCUUAAUGGCCUUCCCGGUUUGUUUUGGAGAGCAUCGUGCAACUUCUUAGAGGGACUAUCCGUGUGUAGCGGAUGGAAGUUUGAGGCAAUAACA